UAUUUAAAAUGCAUUUAUUUUACUUAUCUACCUGCUUUUGGCUAUGUUUGUUACAACUUUGCGCUGUUAAAAAUAAAAAGCCUCUAAUAACACACACCCACCUACAUAUAAUUCCAGUAAAGAACGAUAUAAAUGUUUUAAAAAAACAUAAUAUAUUUUGGAGAAAAUUAAAUUUUAUUUUUUCUAAAAAAAAAAAAGAAAAGUAUGUUAUAAAAAAUUUAGAGGCUAUACCAUUAUUUGUAAUAACAAACGAAUUUGAUCAAGUUAUUAUUUCAUUUAACUUAGAUUAUAAUAAAAAUGAAUCGAAAAAAAAACACAUAAUUCUUAAUAAUAACGAAUUAAAUAUUAGUAAAAGUGAGAGUAACAAUGUCAGUGAUCGUAAAAGUAACAACGACAGCAGUGACAGUGAUAGUGACGUACUUGUACAACACGAUAAUAAUCUUUUAUUUUCUACUAUUACAUAUAAGGAAGAACGAAAAAAAGAAAUUAACUUGAACAAAAUACACGAUAAUAAUUGUAUUAGUAUAUUUUUCUUAGAUUCCAAAACAGCGGAGGCUUAUAAAGACGAUAUUUUACACUUAUAUAACAAAAAUUUAAAAGAAAAAAAAAACGACAAAUUAUUUUUUGGAUCCAAAGUAAAAAACACAAAUUUAAAACAUUUUCUAAAAAUAAAAAAAGUAUACAAUGAUAAAAUUGAUUUUGUUUUAGUACCUAAUUAUAACGAAUUACAACACGUUUUAAAAAAUAAAAAAAUCUUUUACGGCACUCCUAUUUAUUAUAUUAAUAAAAUUAAGUUACAAAAAUCUGUUAUAAAACAAAAAUUCUAUCAACUCUUUUUUCGUAAUCAGUUAGCGAAACAGAUAAAAAUGGAAAUAUACCCGGGAAUUUAUAUGACAUAUACUAUUGAGGAGGAGGAACAAGAAAAUGCAAAAGAGCGAGAAAUUGAAAAAUCGAAAACAAUAAAUCACAAUAAGGGUCACAAACAAAAUGACGAACAAUACUAUGAUAAACAAGAUGGACAAAAAAAAGAUUCCUUCUUAAUUAUACAACUAAAAGCGGAUGACGGAAAAAAAUAUAUACCAAUUUUUUUUUCAUAUGAAGAUGCUCAUAAUUUUUAUAAUUUAUUUUUAAAACAUUUUAGUAAUAAUUU
rnacentral:lncRNA from 1 species